GAGGAGCUUGCUCCUCUGACGUUAGCGGCGGACGGGUGAGUAACACGUGGAUAACCUACCUAUAAGACUGGGAUAACUUCGGGAAACCGGAGCUAAUACCGGAUAAUAUAUUGAACCGCAUGGUUCAAUAGUGAAAGACGGUUUUGCUGUCACUUAUAGAUGGAUCCGCGCCGCAUUAGCUAGUUGGUAAGGUAACGGCUUACCAAGGCAACGAUGCGUAGCCGACCUGAGAGGGUGAUCGGCCACACUGGAACUGAGACACGGUCCAGACUCCUACGGGAGGCAGCGGUAGGGAAUCUUCCGCAAUGGGCGAAAGCCUGACGGAGCAACGCCGCGUGAGUGAUGAAGGUCUUCGGAUCGUAAAACUCUGUUAUUAGGGAAGAACAAAUGUGUAAGUAACUAUGCACGUCUUGACGGUACCUAAUCAGAAAGCCACGGCUAACUACGUGCCAGCAGCCGCGGUAAUACGUAGGUGGCAAGCGUUAUCCGGAAUUAUUGGGCGUAAAGCGCGCGUAGGCGGUUUUUUAAGUCUGAUGUGAAAGCCCACGGCUCAACCGUGGAGGGUCAUUGGAAACUGGAAAACUUGAGUGCAGAAGAGGAAAGUGGAAUUCCAUGUGUAGCGGUGAAAUGCGCAGAGAUAUGGAGGAACACCAGUGGCGAAGGCGACUUUCUGGUCUGUAACUGACGCUGAUGUGCGAAAGC
rnacentral:rRNA from 1 species